UACAGAAGGUGCGAGCGUUAAUCGGAAUUACUGGGCGUAAAGGGUGCGUAGGUGGUUUUGUAAGUUAGGUGUGAAAGUCCUGGGCUUAACCUGGGGAUUGCGCCUAAUACUGCGAAGCUAGAGUACUGUAGAGGAGACUGGAAUUCCUGGUGUAGCGGUGAAAUGCGCAGAUAUCAGGCGGAACACCGAUGGCGAAGGCACUCUGCUGGGCCGACACUGACACUGAGAGACGAAAGCUAGGGGAGCAAAUGGG
rnacentral:rRNA from 1 species